rnacentral:misc_RNA from 1 species
UUUGCCCAGGCAGUGUACAACAUGUGGCCUCACUUCCCAAUGCCUCUGCCCCACUAAGCCACAUAUUUGCACUAACAAACCACUUGCGAGAGGGUUUCUGCUUACGGUUCUUGGACAUCCGGUUCUUAGUAACGUGCCAAUCCAUGUGAUUACUGUGCUCUUCUUGACACUUAAAUCUAUGGCCACAUGUUGUACACUGCCUGGGCAAAUCAGCAUAUAAGGCAGUUACUGCUGACUCAUGGCGCACCUUAAGAAGAUCAGCAUUGAACUCCAGUCCCACAGAAUCCUGUACAGGUGUUUUGCUUGUCAAUGAGAUCAAACCUUGAGCCAUGAGAGA